rnacentral:tRNA from 1 species
AGUAGCUCAGUCGGUUAGAGCAUCUGACUGUUAAUCAGAGGGUCACAGGUUCAAGUCCUGUCU